UGAGAUGAUCACCUCUCUUAUGAGAUAAAAUGCCUUUAAUACCAAACCAGGAUUUGAUGCAUUUUAUAAAUUUGAAUAAAGAAUUGUUAUUACCUCCCCAUGACCUCCCAAAUGAAAUAUGCUGUAAAUCUCUUAUCUGCUUCUGGGCUGACCAAGGCACGUGCAGAAGGCAGACUGAAUGUGAGACUUGGGGGCAAGAAAACACUUUCAGGAGAAACAACAGAUGAAAUAAACGAAGAGACAGUUUCUAACAGUCCAUAGGAUGGCCAAAAACCCCCCAACCUACGCAGAUCAGAAGUAUCCAAAUCUUCAGCGAACAGAUUCAGCCAACAGUGAGAGUGUUACUUAAGAAAUUAAGGAUUCCCCAAUGGAAAAAAAAAAUUCUUCUCAUCAACGUCUUGACGAAUAGGUAUCUUCUCCAUCCUUUUUGUGCUACUCAUUUCUGCCAUCAAACAGAUUUUGUUGAAACAUGUUUUCACAUUGUUUUGAAAGCAGCGUGCAGAUGUGGAAUUAAGAAAAAAACCCAACACGAACCAACAUGCUGUUAUUCUCACUGUUCUCCUUUGAUCAUCUCUCCAUGGGUAUUUUUCUAGGGUCAUGGAAAAGGUCUGACUUGGUGAGGAAAAAAAAGAAAACAUAAAAAGGAUGAUCUUGUGACUAAGAACACAGGAAGCAACUGAGACAUCCAGCUUCAGUUUCCCCUUUAUUAAAAGCUGGCCACAUUCCUGUAGGCAAA